rnacentral:rRNA from 1 species
AUGCGCGUCCCCCUGCACCACUUCUUCGUCGACGCGCUCAACCACUUCGGCCUCGCGCCCACGCAGCUCGCGCCCAACGGGUGGCGCAUCGUGGCGGGAUUCAUUGUGCUCUGCCACUCCGCCGCCGUGCCGCCGUCCCUCGCGGUGUUCCGGCGGUUCUUCGUGCUGUCCGCCCUCCCGCACAAGCACAAAAAGGGCUGGUACUACUUCCAACCCAGGUCGAAGGGCAGAUCGGGCUUGCGGUUCACGGGGUUGCCGGAGUCCAUCAAGGGCUGGAAGCGCGGGUUCUUCUUCCUCUGUUCGCCCACCGGCUGGCCUUGUCCUGUGGAGUGGGGCAGGCCGUCCAAGAGCUCUCUCGUGGACCCCGUGCUCUCCACCGAAGAUGAGGAAUCGGCGGCGAAGUUGUUAUCUGCUCUGGGAGCCUGCUCCAUUGAUCUUAGGGAGUAUCUUUGCCGCAGAAAUCUUGCUGACGCCGGGAUAACUCCCUCACCGGUACGGGCGCCGUCAUCACCGCAGCUCCCGGUACCGGAGCCGUCGUCACCGCAGCCGCCGCCUUCUUGUACUUGUACUGCCAUCGAGUCUAAAGGGAUGGAUCCCGCAGUGUACGGCAUGAUGAAAUCCAUGCUAGCAUCGAAGGCGGCGGUGGCACGAACAUCGGCGUCGGCGAACAAGGUGAAAAUUGAGCCGGGCAGUGAUGCGACGAGAUCAUCGCCGGUGCAUGGGAAGAAGAGGAAUCUGGCCGAAGCAUACGGCAGCGACGACCCACCAUCUGUGCCGCCAAACACUCCGCCUACCGCCGAUGACAGCUCGGCGCCCACCGGAAUUUGUUCCCCGCCCGAGGCCUUCUCCCGGAGCAGCCGGAAGACGCAGCAUAUUCCCAGCGGACACGACGGCGACAGCACCGACUGGGUGGCCGCGCGGGAGAGGCUGCGGGGCGCCGUCCCGCCGCAGCAGGAGCGCGUGCUUGCGGCGACCGAGCCCUCCGACAUCGUCGCGUCCACCUACGUCGCUGUUCUUCAGGCUGCAAACUCCGCGUCCUUCUCCUUGGCCUACGCGCUGGAGCUGGAGCAGCGGCUGGACGCGCGGGACGCGGAGGUCGCCGCACUGCGGACGCAGCUGGAGAAGUCGGAGGCCCAGCUCGCCGGGGCGGAGGCGGAGGGGGAGAUGAUGAAGGCCGAGCUCGCCGUGCGGCGGCGCGCACAGGACGCGCUGGAUGGCUACGAGAGGUGGCGGGGCACGAACGCGGGGCGGACGACCUGA